AUGUGGGCACCUGAUAUCUAUGAGGGUUCACCCACCUCGGUGACAGCAUUCCUUUCUAUUGCGCCUAAAAUCUCUAUUUCUGCAAAUAUGUCACGUGUUUCUAUUGUUGCUUCCUAUGGGGGUACAUUACAAAAAAUCUUCUUUUUCUGCAGCAUUGCUUCUAUGAUCUUAGGAGCACUGGCCGCCAUGGCCCAAAUGAAAGUCAAAAGACCUCUAGCUCAUAGUUCGAUUGGACAUGUAGGUUAUAUUCGUACUGGUUUCUCAUGUGGAACCAUAGAAGGAAUUCAAUCACUACUAAUUGGUAUAUUUAUUUAUGCAUCAAUGACGAUAGAUGCAUUCGCCAUAGUUCCAGCAUUACGGCAAACCCGUGUCAAAUAUAUAGCGGAUUUGGGCGCUCUAGCCAAAACGAAUCCUAUUUCGGCUAUGACCUUCUCCAUUACAAUGUUCUCAUACGCGGGAAUACCCCCGUUAGCCGGCUUUUGUAGCAAAUUCUAUUUGUUCUUUGCCGCUUUGGGUUAUGGGGCUUACUUCCUAGCCGUAGUGGGAGUAGUGACUAGCGUUAUAGGUCAUUGGGUGGCCGGAAGGUUUCCAUGA
rnacentral:rRNA from 1 species